CACGUAGGGCGCAAGCGUUGUCCGGAAUUAUUGGGCGUAAAGAGCUCGUAGGCGGUCUGUUGCGUCCGCUGUGAAAACUCGGGGCUUAACCCCGAGCCUGCAGUGGAUACGGGCAGACUAGAGGUAGGUAGGGGAGAAUGGAAUUCCCGGUGUAGCGGUGAAAUGCGCAGAUAUCAGGAGGAACACCAAUGGCGAAGGCAGCACUCUGGGACGUGACUGACGCUGAGACGCGAAAGCGUGGGGAGCAAACAGG
rnacentral:rRNA from 1 species